CCGUUGAUUGCUGCUGCUGACUGUGCUAGUGCCCGACACAACGGAGUGCUUUGUAGUCGGGCCGGUGUGUACGAUGAAUUCAGUGAGCCAAACAGCCAGGCAACGUAGCAGCUAGCUACGAGUAUAUAGCUAGUCAGCCAGAGCUAACAUUCCCAACCAACUCAUUUCGCUUUGCUUGCUUGCUUGUUGGUUGGUUGGUUGGUUGGCUGGCUAGCUAGCUAGCUAGUUGCCGUACCAAUUCGCAUACACAUUUCGAGUUUCGGUCGCAAAAAUCGCUUGCCUCCCGUACACCAGCAGCAACAACAGCAACAGCCACGCCAAGUUGCGGCAGUGGCAGUCUCACCAGUCAGCAGUCAUUGUAUUCAUCGUCAGCAAUGAGCAACAGCAGAACAGCAGUUAGUCAGAGCCGCCAGCCCAGCCAGUUCGCCAACUCAGGGCGUCAGGCAAACAACCAACAACUUUGUGUGUGCUCAGUAGCAGCGGCAUCAGCAAACGAAUGACGAGCUAAGCACACCAGCCAACAACAAUUUCAACUGUUGAAAAACCCCGAGUCGCCCGACAAACAAAUGUCGCAGCGCAAUGUGUGAAUGAGCACAGCACGGCAUAACGAUGAAGUGGUGGAGCAGAGUUAGUCUGCUGGUUUGUUGGACGGUCGGACGAACCGUCAGUGUGUCGGUGAAAAUGGCACGACAGAGAAUCGAAGCAGCCAAGCAAUGGUUUCGGUCGAGUGUUGAGCGAACGAACUUAGUCGUUGUAGCGAUUUCGAGCAUUAUUUGCGCUACAUGCCAUUACGUGUGCCGACACUCCCUGCUCCCGUUUUGCCUGUUUUUUACUCUUUCGUUCGUAUGUUCGCUUGUUCGCUUUUAGUGAAUGCAGAGUGCAAUAGCUGUUUGCUGUUGUUGCGGACUCUGGGGCUUUUGCAGGCUGGCUCCACAGUUCUACGACUUAAUGCUUUGGCUUGAUUAUUUCGUUCGUACAUCGGCUCUGUUGUUGCAUAUACAUAUGCGUUAAAGGAACUUUUGUAAUGUUUAAAACACGAAUAAAGGAGGGAUAGGGAUGGUUGGUUACUUUGGAACGACGUCUUUGGAAUACUACGCAAUGCCAAGAAUUCAAAUUCGUUCUAUUUUCUUAUGUUUCAAAAGGGUGUUAUGCUGCUGGUUGAAGUUAGGGAGAAAUUUUGAGGACAAUGCACAUAUGAUUUCAAUUUAUAAAACUAAAAAAGUCAUGUGCAUUGUACAGAAAACAUCGGUGACUAAUUAUGGGUUUAUGGUUAUGAUGUGGAAACCAAAACUCAAUCUUCUAAAUGGAAGCUGCCGCAAGAGCCAAGUCCAACUUAUUUUAGUUUCCAAAACUGAAGAGGCCUAUGAAAGGACCACGAUACCAUUGAGGAGAUAAAAACUGCAUCGAAGAAGGAGCUAAACAAAAUCACAAAAAAAACUUUUUAAGUACUUUGAGUAUUGGUAGACGUGCC